AAUAAUGCGAGGAGGGGGCGGGGAGAAUAAGGCAGCAAACUCCACCCCUUCUCCUAGGAAACACUUCUAAUUGAUCGGAAGCCUUGAUUGCUCCCUCGGUGUUCCGGAGCCGCUGCUAGAAUUCGUCCUCCCACAAGAAUAAAUCAGCAUUUCUCGCGGGGUGGAAUGAAGAAGAUCAAACAGAAUCUUUAGGAACAGCAGCAUCACAUGGUGGGCAUUGGUCCAAAUACAGAAUUGGAGAUUGUUGCCAAAGAAAAGAAUUAUGAUUUCAUCAAUCGCGAGCCCAGACAAGGAAAUAACUCAGCAAAAGGCAGAUCAGCACAUUCUCCGCCAUUUACAGGUGUGGAGAUGUUUAUGGUAAAUGUUAUUUUUGAUUUUACUAAAACUGAGUUUAGCUAAAUUUAAAGGCUGAAUACCUGCUGACUCCCAGGCUGAGAGGAGCUUUGCUCUGUGAGGGAACCAUCAU